rnacentral:rRNA from 1 species
CGAACACCCUAACAGCUAGCCCCACCAUCAAGAUACAACACCCAACAUUAAUAACCCUACAAGUACUAAGCUAAAGUACCAAACCAUUUUACCCCCCUAGUAUGGGAGACAGAAAGGGGAAACCACGGGCGCUAUAGAAAAAGUACCGCAAGGGAAAGCUGAAAGAGAACUGAAACAACGCAGUAAAGGGAAUAGAAGCAGAGCUUUGACCUCGUACCUUUUGCAUCAUGAUUUAGCAAGUAAUUUUCAAGCAAAAAGCCUUUUAUGUUUGAGCCCCCGAAAUUAAGCGAGCUACUCCAGGACAGCCUAUUAUAGGGCACACCCGUCUCUGUGGCAAAAGAGUGGGAAGAGCUUUGAGUAGAGGUGACAGACCUACCGAGCUUAAUUAUAGCUGGUUGCCUAAGAACUGAAUAGAAGUUCAGCCUUUUAAAUUCUUCUCCCAAUAAGGGCAACGCCCCCCACAGGACACAAGAAAAUUAAAAGAGUUAUUUGAGGGAGGGACAGCUCUCUCAAAGUAAGAUACAACUUUAUUAAAGGAGGUGAAAGAUCAAAACUUUAAAGGGACAAUACCCAGGUGGGCCUAAAAGCAGCCACCCUUACAGAAAGCGUUAAAGCUCAAGUAUUAAAACCCGACGAUUUCGACCAGAACAUCUUAAGCCCCUUAACUUAUUAGGCCUACCCAUGCAUCCAUGGGUAAGAUAAUGCUAGAAUGAGUAAUAAGAGAGCCGAGACUCUCUCAAGUGCAUCCGUGUAAAUCAGAACGAACCCCCACUGUAAAUUAACGCCCCCAACUCCAGAGGGAAAUGAGGUACCCAACAUACAACAAGAAGCCCCCUCAACCCCAUAAGCGUUAGCCCAACACAGGAAUGCCCCAUGACAGACAAAAAGAAAAAGAAGGAACUCGGCAAACAUUGGCCUCGCCUGUUUACCAAAAACAUCGCCUCUUGCCAAAUCUCUUAUAAGAGGUCCCGCCUGCCCUGUGACUCUAAGUUUAACGGCCGCGGUAUUUUGACCGUGCGAAGGUAGCGUAAUCACUUGUCUUUUAAAUGAAGACCUGUAUGAAUGGCAUAACGAGGGCUAAGCUGUCUCCUUUUUCUAGUCAAUGAAAUUGAUCUCCCCGUGCAGAAGCGGGGAUACACACAUAAGACGAGAAGACCCUAUGGAGCUUUAGACACCCGGACAGCCCACGUUAAGUAGCCUGCCCCACCAGGCAAGAACAAAAUGGCCCCUGUCCCCCUGUCUUUGGUUGGGGCGACCGCGGAGUAACAGAAAACCCCCACGUGGAAUGGGCUUUGCCCUUAAAGCCAGAGCCACAGCUCUAAUAAACAGAACAUCUGACCAAUAAGAUCCGGCAACGCCGAUCAACGGACCCAGUUACCCUAGGGAUAACAGCGCAAUCCCCUUUUAGAGCCCAUAUCGACAAGGGGGUUUACGACCUCGAUGUUGGAUCAGGACUUCCUAAUGGUGCAGCCGCUAUUAAGGGUUC